UACGGCCACUUCACGUUGAAAUACCGGUACCCGUACGAUCACGGAAGUUAAGCAACGUCUAACCUGAUCAGUAUUUACAUGGGUGACCGUUUGGAAUACCAGGUACGGUA